UUCCGCGCCAUCCUGGGCUGG
rnacentral:misc_RNA from 1 species